CGACUGUUUAUCAAAAACACAGGGCUCUGCGAAAUCGAAAGAUGAAGUAUAGGGCCUGACACCUGCCCGGUGCCGGAAGGUCAAGGGGAGACGUAAGCUUCGGCGAAGCGUUGAACUGAAGCCCCGGUAAACGGCGGCCGUAACAAUAACGGUCCUAAGGUAGCGAAAUUCCUUGUCGGGUAAGUUCCGACCUGCACGAAUGGCGUAACGACUUCCCCACUGUCUCCAACAUAGACUCAGCGAAAUUGAAUUCCCCGUGAAGAUGCGGGGUACCC
rnacentral:rRNA from 1 species